rnacentral:rRNA from 1 species
AUUGAACGCUGGCGGCAUGCCUAACACAUGCAAGUCGAACGAGUGGCGGACGGGUGAGUAAUGUCUGGGAAACUGCCUGAUGGAGGGGGAUAAGUACUGGAAACGGUAGCUAAUACAGCAAACCAUCGGAGGUGGCCAGAUGGGAUUAGCUAGUAGGUGGGGUAAAGGCUCACCUAGGCGACGAGCCCUAGCUGGGCUGAGAGGAUGACCAGCCACACUGGAACUGAUACACGGUCCAGCCUCCUACGGGAGGCAGCAGUGGGGAAUAUUGCACAAUGGGCGCAAGCCUGAUGCAGCCCUGCCGCGUGUAUGAAGAAGGCCUUCGGGUUGUAAAGUACUUUCAGCGGGGAGGCGUUACCCGCAGAAGAAGCACCGGCUAACUCCGUGCCAGCAGCCGCGGUAAUAC